rnacentral:rRNA from 1 species
UACAGAGGUCUCAAGCGUUGUUCGGAUUCAUUGGGCGUAAAGGGCGCGUAGGCGGCUCGCCAAGUCGGGGGUGAAAUCUUUCGGCUCAACCGGAAAAGUGCCUUCGAUACUGGCGGGCUGGAGGGAGGUAGGGGCAUGUGGAACUUCCGGUGGAGCGGUGAAAUGCGUUGAUAUCGGAAGGAACGCCGGUGGCGAAAGCGACGUGCUGGACCUCUUCUGACGCUGAGGCGCGAAAGCUAGGGGAGCGAACGGG